rnacentral:rRNA from 1 species
UACGGUGGGAGCAAGCGUUGUUCGGAUUUACUGGGCGUAAAGGGCGCGUAGGCGGUCAGCACAAGUCAGUUGUGAAAUCUCCGGGCUUAACUCGGAAAGGUCAACUGAUACUGUGCGACUAGAGUGCAGAAGGGGCAACUGGAAUUCUCGGUGUAGCGGUGAAAUGCGUAGAUAUCGAGAGGAACACCUGCGGCGAAGGCGGGUUGCUGGGCUGACACUGACGCUGAGGCGCGAAAGCCAGGGGAGCGAACGGG